rnacentral:rRNA from 1 species
GACGAACGCUGGCGGCGUGCUUAACACAUGCAAGUCGAACGGUAAGGCUCCAGCUUGCUGGGGUACACGAGUGGCGAACGGGUGAGUAAACGUUGGUGGCCUGCCCUGCACUUCGGGAUAAGUCUGGGAAACUGGGUCUAAUUCCGGAUAGGAACCUGGUGUGGAUACUGGGGUGGGAAGUUUUUUCGGUGUGGGAUGGGCCCGCGGCCUAUCAGCUUGUUGGUGGGGUAAUGGCCUACCUAGGCGGCGACGGGUAGCCGGCCUGAGAGGGUGGACGGCCACAUUGGGACUGAGACACGGCCCAGACUCCUACGGGAGGCAGCAGUGGGGAAUAUUGCACAAUGGGCGGAAGCCUGAUGCAGCGACGCCGCGUGGGGGAUGACGGCCUUCGGGUUGUAAACUCCUUUCACCAUCGACGAAGGGUUUCUGACGGUAGAUGGAGAAGAAGCACCGGCUAACUACGUG